GAAGGUGUAGAUGGGCGGGUGGAUGGAAGGAGGAAGAAAGGCAUAGAUGGGCGGGUGGAUGGAUGGAAGGAGGAAGGUGUAGACGGGUGGGUGGAUGGAAGGAGAAAGGUGUAGAUGGGCGGGUGGAUGGAAGGAGAAAGGCAUAGAUGGGCGGGUGGAUGGAAGGAGGAAGGUGUAGACGGGUGGGUGGAUGGAAGGAGAAAGGCAUAGAUGGGCGGGUGGAUGGAAGGAGGAAGGUGUAGACGGGU
rnacentral:lncRNA from 1 species